GUUGUGCGGCUGCGCAGGCGAGAGCGAGAAACAUGAAGGCGAAGCCAUGGCAGAAAAAAAGGGGGAAGAGCCGAUUGCGGCGGGAGCGGAAAAGGAAAAAAAAAACCAAAACCAGCGACCAAAAAAAAACACGACAAACUCUCGACCAAUUCCUCUCAGAAACCAAAAACAAAAGACUUUAGACUUCAUGAAGAGAGCUAGAGAACAGGUUUUUUUUUUCUCUCUCAACUCCUGAAGAGAAUCUAAUUUUUAAAAACGGCCUCAGUUCCUUCAGUGGGAGUUUUUUUUUUGUUAAUAUUUAAUUUCGACAGUUGAUCGGGCGCUAAGUCAAUUUCGCGCACCUUCCCCCACCCACCCCGCGCUCCCGACGGCUUUCCGUCGACCACAAUGUUGGGAGAUUUUGCUUCAUUUCACUCGCAAACAAAGCCCUCCCGUCAAAAAUUUUAAAAUAAUAGUGGGGGGGGGGAGGAAAAAUACGCCUCGUUAACGUCCGCCGGGAGCGAGAAGUCAUCUAUGGGGUGUAGGCAUCAUUUGUGCAUCCCCAAGAGCAGCUCAGAGCGAACCACAUUGCUGUGGGUCUGGAGUCACCUGUAAGACAGACCGGGUAAGAAUGGCAGAAAACCUUCUGUAAGGGACGAGGUGAUCCAGACAGGACCAGCUUUUUUUUUUAAACGUCAUUAAAUUCAGAUUUCACCAUCUGCUACAGUGGAAUUGAAAUCCAGGUAACUAGACAAGAAUAAUUAGCCUCACAAUAAGACACUUCAUUGUGCGGUCAGUAUUUUUCUACACUGUUAAGUCAGUAUGAUGUUUUUCUUCAGUCAUUUAUUUCAUCCCUGAUGCUAUUUCAUUCUGUGAUCUUAGAAGAUAAAGCAUUAUGCAUAUUAUAAAGUUGACAUCUUCCAAACGUUUAUAUAUCUAUUUUAAUUAAACCUAGAAUUGAAUCAAAUAGUUUUUGCAGUUUACCAAAACUCCGAGGGACCAUAAAUUCACAUUUGGAAUGCCAACAAUUUUGAAUAAUGUUUUCAGAUCUUUUUGAAGAAAAUGUUUGUCAACUUUUAACUAUAUUGAUAACUGGAACACUUUCCUCCGAGUAGGAAGAAGUACAGAACUAAACAUACCCAUUAAAGGAGUUCCCCUGAAAAUCUAAGCACCGAAUUAUAUGUUUCAAAAUUUGGUUUCAUUCAUGACAGAUGUAUGUUUCCCCACUGUAUGGUUGACAAGGUCUUUCUUCUUCCUGCCGUGGGCAGGUAAUUUGGAAGGAUUUACAAAUUGACACUCAGCCUAUCAGACCAUAUUGUUUUCAAGAACAUUGAUGUUCAGUGGCACUAUUGAUCACAGCUGGAUAUUUGAGUAGUGUUUUGACGUCAGGACAUCUGUGAAUGCUGGAUUCUUUGCACAAGUAUCCGGACAAAGGCUGAUUCUUGUUAAACUAUGCAACUAUGGACUGAAGACCUUCAAGAAGAAGGAAGAUGAAAUGUAAAUCCUUUAUUUCAUUACUGGAAAUAUAGAGGGGGAAUAUUGGAAUUAGUACACCUGUUGCCUGUUGAGAAAGAAAUUUUGAAAAACACAUUUACAAAAAUACACCAGAAUAUAAUACAUGUAAAGAUACUAAUAUGCAAACUGACAAGCAUCAGCCAAGGUAUAUUAGUGGAAUUAGGGCUGCAAAUUAGAGAACUUUGCUAUAAAGAUACUGUAUAUGCUGGUGUAAAAGUUGUUUAUUUAGAUUUUUUUAAAGUUAAUUUAUGGGGUUGACUGUUACAUGGAUACUGCUUUCAGAGGGCUGAAAUUCAUGCUGCAGUCCAAAUUACCGCAUCAUUAGCAGAAGCCCAGUUGAUCUUUAAACAAAUAAAAAUGAAUUAUAGUACUUACAGUUACUUCUAUGAUCCAGCAUCAUGAAAAAUGAGGACUGAGAGGCGUAAUUGUCAUAGCAUUACAGCUCGUGAGUGUUUGUUUAUUGUCAGCAGAUAAGAACAAACAAGUGGAUUAUUCUUCCUGUAAAAACCUUAUUAUUCUUUCACAAAAUAACCCUGAAUCUUUUCCAUUUGCUCCCGUGUCCAACAGAUUUCUGUCACUCUCAGUGAAACAGUUAAGUCAUUGGGCCAAGCUCUCUCAAUUAGCGGGUUCAUUCUUUUGAAACUCUGUCAAAGGAAUGAAACUUGAUGAAAAUAAAGCUGCUGUUGAAAUGCUACAGUGUUCUGGAGUUGAAAACAAUCCCACCAAACCUGGGAGACUGAAUGGCAGCACUUUAUCUCCACCUGCACGUCACUAACAUUACAAUGCUAAAUCCAAUUUCCUCCCCAUUUUCAGAGUAAAGAUACACUUAAGGAAGUUUCAUUGACAGAUGAGAACGAACACCAUCCAACACUUGCCUUAAAAUCCAAAUUAUCUGAAGAACGAGGGUCGACUUUUUCAUGAGAUACAUAGACAAUUCAAGACUUUUUGGCCAAAAGUAGGAUGUUGACUUUUACAUGAGAUUGACUUGUAUUCAAGUAUAUACAGUAUGUUGCAACGCUGAUAUUCUUCAAGAUUUCAUUAUUUUGGGACAUUAAUAAAGCCAUUGACAAUAAAGCUGCUGAAGGAGGCAAGAUCACAGCUGAACAGGAGUAAAAUCUAGCAGCUAAAUCAUAGGAGUAACAGACUUGAACUAAAUUCAGAGAAUGGAGUUCAUGUCCUUACUGUGGAAUUUGUAGAGAUCUGGAAUUAAAACAUUUUUACCAGCAAAAACAA